AGAACAUCUAUCUCUCCAGGCCACCAUUCCCAGAAUGACAACUGGCUCCUGCACUUACCACCAUGUGCCACACCCUGAGGGACUGACCGUGUCAACCUGUAGACAGCAUGAGACCCAGAGAAGACUGUGCGACUGGUGUGGUGGUCCAUCUCUCCAGCUGUCUUCCUAAUUAGAACCAUCCUGGGUAUCUUCUAUAUUCAAGAAUGUGU